rnacentral:rRNA from 1 species
AUGGUUCGGGAGGAGGUAGCAGGAUCCACUCAAACACUAAAGUGAAAGUGUGUUGAAUCAAGAGUAGAUAGUAAGCACCUUUAUUAUGAUCGUUUCAUUUGA